rnacentral:rRNA from 1 species
CAGUAGCCGCGGUAACACGGAGGGAGCUAGCGUUGUUCGGAAUUACUGGGCGUAAAGCGCGCGUAGGCGGUUACUCAAGUCAGAGGUGAAAGCCCGGGGCUCAACUCCGGAACUGCCUUUGAAACUAGGUGACUAGAAUCUUGGAGAGGUCAGUGGAAUUCCGAGUGUAGAGGUGAAAUUCGUAGAUAUUCGGAAGAACACCAGUGGCGAAGGCGACUGACUGGACAAGUAUUGACGCUGAGGUGCGAAAGCGUGGGGAGCAAACAGGAUUAGAUACCCCGGUAGUCCCUGUCUCUUAUAA